rnacentral:lncRNA from 1 species
UAAUAAAUAUACCGUCUACAUAUAUCAGUACUUGAUUGAAAGACCGUCAUGCAUAACAUAAAUUUAUAUAUUGCGUAGAUUCUCAAAGAUUUACUCAAUAUUCACGUCUGAAAUGUUUAUACAUAUUCGGAAAACAACGCUGUCGCUCCUUCCCAGCAUCGUGCCUACGGCUUCACAGCGCAUGCGCAUUCGCGCUGCUAUGAAAAAUCGGGUGUUCCGGGGGAAAGAUCCUUUACACAACAUGAGAAGCGAAUGUCCUAAAAUUACCAAAAUUUACAAUAACGACA